GGGAAACCGGGGCUAAUACCGGAUGGUUGUUUGAACCGCAUGGUUCAGACAUAAAAGGUGGCUUCGGCUACCACUUACAGAUGGACCCGCGGCGCAUUAGCUAGUUGGUGAGGUAACGGCUCACCAAGGCGACGAUGCGUAGCCGACCUGAGAGGGUGAUCGGCCACACUGGGACUGAGACACGGCCCAGACUCCUACGGGAGGCAGCAGUAGGGAAUCUUCCGCAAUGGACGAAAGUCUGACGGAGCAACGCCGCGUGAGUGAUGAAGGUUUUCGGAUCGUAAAGCUCUGUUGUUAGGGAAGAACAAGUGCCGUUCAAAUAGGGCGGCACCUUGACGGUACCUAACCAGAAAGCCACGGCUAACUACGUGCCAGCAGCCGCGGUAAUACGUAGGUGGCAAGCGUUGUCCGGAAUUAUUGGGCGUAAAGGGCUCGCAGGCGGUUUCUUAAGUCUGAUGUGAAAGCCCCCGGCUCAACCGGGGAGGGUCAUUGGAAACUGGGGAACUUGAGUGCAGAAGAGGAGAGUGGAAUUCCACGUGUAG
rnacentral:rRNA from 1 species